UAAAUUUUUUCACCGAUCUCGGCUGUGCAAAUCUCGGUUUAAGUUCGUUUGCUGAAAUAUCGGCUAAAUAGAUGUAUGAUUACGGCAGCUCCCUUGAGUGCCGCAGUAAACAAAUUACUUUUUCAGCUGAUACAUCAGCAGAAAUUCUCAAACCGAGCGCUCGGCUGUGCGGAUCUCGGCAAAAGAAUGAAAAAAAGCCGAGCUGAACUGAGUGUGUAUAUUAUUAUCGAUUCGGUUCCUAUAUAAGGCAUGAAUGAAGCUGAAAAAUACAUCAUUCAUAUCUGAGUUCUGGAAGAGAAUAGUAACCCCAAUAGAAUCCAGGAAAUUGUAAAAAUGCCGAACAAAAACGACGAACACGGCGCUGCAAUUCGCCAAGCUAUCAAUUCCAAUCCAAAUGCCAAGGGUGAUGAGAGGGCGGAAAUUAUAAAAGAAGCAAUAAAACAAUCCAAUGAAGAGAACAAAGGUCAAGGUAAAAAAUAAGCAGUGCAAAUGUAAUUCUGAAUGUAAUGAAUAAAAUUUUAUGCAGGAAAAUGUU